GUAAACCUAGGCAGCCCAUAAAUCCGCCGCCUGCCAGAGUAUUACAAGUGAAAAACUUAAAACUCAAAGGACUUGACGGUGUCCCAUAUCAACCUAGAGGAGCCUGUCCCAUAAUCGAUGAUCCACGUUUUACCUUACCUGCCCUUGCAGCCCCGCCUAUAUACCGCCGUCCUCAGCCAACCUUGCAAAAGCACCAACAGUUGGCCUAAUAGUUCCAUACUAAAACGUCAGGUCAAGGUGUAGCUCACGGACAGGCGGAGAUGGGCUACAUUUUCUAUCACAGAAACCACAAACUGCGCCAUGAAAACUGCGCCAGAAGCUGGAUUUAGCAGUAAACCAGACAAGAUAUGUCUGAUUGAACAAUG
rnacentral:rRNA from 1 species